rnacentral:lncRNA from 1 species
CCCGUGGGUCUCAUCUAAAUAGAUGCAUGUUUCACUUUUUUAAAACGUACUAGGUAAAUGAAGUUUGAUUUUAGUUGAAUGAUGAUGUAAUGAUCAAACAGUUUUGUUGGAAAUUCAUAGGUCUGCUGUUCAAGGUCAGAUAGAAACUAACAUUUUAUUAUAGUUUUUCAAGUUAAGUUUUUAAUGUCACAUGCACAAGUACAGUGAAAUGCAUUUAUUGCAAGCUCUAAACCCAACAAUGCAGUAAUCAAUAUCAAUGUAGCACUAAAAAUAACAUAAGGUAGAACAAAAAGACACAAAUAAAAAUAAGAACAUGCGAAAGUAAGAAGCUAGAUACAGGGUCAGUUCCAAUACCAUAUGUACAAUGUGCAGGAAUACUGGAGUGAUAGAGGUAGAUACACUAUAUAUACAAAAGUAUGUGGACACCCCUUCAAAUUAGUGGAUUCGGCUAUUUCAGCCACACCUGUUGCUGACAGGAGGUUUAAAAUCGAGCACACGCCAUGUAAUCUCCAUAGAAAAACAUUGGCAGUAGAAUGGCCUUACUGAAGAGCUCAGUGGCAUUCAACGUGGCACCGUCAUAGGAUGCCACCUUUCCAACAAGUCAGUUUGUAAAAUUUCUGCCCUUCUAGAGCUGCCCCGGUCAACUGUAAGUGCUGUAAUUAUGAAGUGGAAACGUCUAGGAGCAACAACGGCUCAGCCGCAAAGUGGUAGGCCACACAAGCUUACAGAACGGGAUCGCCGAGUGCUGAAGCGCGUAAAAAUGGUCUGUCCUCGGUUGCAACACUCACAACCGUGUUCCAAACUGCCUCUGGAAGCAACAUCAGCACAAGAACUGUUCGUCUGGAGCUUCAUGAAAUGGGUUCCCAUGGCCGAGCAGCCGCACACAAGCCUAAGUUCACCAUGCGCAAUGCCAAGCGUCGGCUGGAGUGGUGUAAAGCUCACCGCCAUUGGACUAUGGAGCAGUGGAAACACAUUCUGUGGAGUGAUGAAUCACGGUUCACCAUCUGGCACGCCAACGGACAAAUCUAGGUUUGUCGGAUGCCAGGAGAAUGCUACCUGCCUGAAUGCGUAGUACCAACUGUAAAGUUUGAAUAAUGGUCUAGGGCUGUUUUUCAUGGUUCGGGCCCCUUAGUUCCAGUAAAGGGAAAUCUUAACGCUCACAUACAAUAACAUUCUAGACGAUUCUGUGCUUCCAACUUGGGGAAGGCCCUUUCCUGUUUCAGCAUGACAAUGCCCCUGUGCACAAAGCGAGGUCUAUCCAGAAAGGAUUUGUUGAGAUCGGUGUGGAAGAACUUGACUAGCCUGCACAGAGCCCUAACCUCAACUCCAUUGAACACCUUUGGGAUAAAUUGGAACGCCGACUGCGAGCCAGGCCUAAUCGCCCAACAUCAGUGCUCGACCUCACUAAUGCUCGUGGCUGAAUGGAAGCAAGUCCCCGCAGCAAUGUUCCAGCAUCUAGUGGAAAGCCUUUCCAGAAGAGUGUAGGCUGUUAUAGAAGCAAAGGGGGGACCAACUCCAUAUUAAUGCCUAUGAUUUUAGAAUGAGAUGUUCGCUGGUGUCCACCAGUGGUGUAAAGUAUUUAAGUAAAAAAUACUUUUGAGUACUACUUAAGUCGUUUUUGGGGGUAUCUGUACUUCACUACAUUACUAAACAAAACAAUGUACUUUUUACUCCAUACAUUUUCCCUGACACCCAAAAGUAUUCGUUACAUUUCGAAUGCUUGACAGGAAAGGAAAAUGGUACAAUUCACACAUUUCUCAAGGGCACACCUCUGGUCAUCGCUACUGCCUCUGAUCUGGCAGACUUACUAAACACAUGCUUGGUUUGUAAGUUAUGUCUGAGUGUUGGAGUGUGCCCUUGGCUAUCCGUAAAUAAAAAAACAAGAAAAAUGUGGCGUCUGGUUUGCUUAAUUUAAGGAAUGUGAAAUGAUUUAUACUUGUACGUUUGAUACUUAAGUAUAUUUUUGCAAUUACAUUUACUUUUGAUACUUAAGUAUAUUUAAAACCAAAUACUUUUAGACUUUUACUCAAGUAGUAUUUUACUGGGUGACUUUCACUUUUACUUGAGUCAUUUUCGAUUAAGGUAUCUUUACUUUUAUUCAAGUAUGACAAAUGUGUACUUUUUCCACCACAAAAGUGUCCACAUACUUUUGGUCCUAUAUAGAGUAGGUAUCGGGUAAGGUGACUAGGCAUCAGGAUAUAUGAUAAACAGAGUAGUAUCAGCAUAAAUGAUGAUUGUAUGGGAGUGCGUGUGUGUGUGGCAUCAGUAUAAAUGUGUGUGCAUGUUAUGUUUGUAUUGGACUGUCAGUGUGAAUGACUGUGUAGAAUCCUGUGAGUGUGCAUAGACUACAAAAAUAACAUACCAGGGUCAACUCAGAUAGUCCGUGUAACCAUUCUGUAAGGUAUUUAGCAGUCUUAUGGUUUCGGGAUAGAAGCUGUUCAGGACCCUGUUGGUGUCGGACUUAAUUAACCGGUACCACUUGCCGUGCAGAAGCAGAGAGAACAGUCUAUGGCUUGGGUGGCUGGAGUCUUUAACGAUUUUCCGGGCCUUCCUUUCACACCACCUGAUAUAAAGGUCCUGGAUGGCAGGGGGCUCGGCCCCAGUGAAGUACUGGGCUGUCCACACCACUCUCUGUAGCACCAUUCGAUCAAGGGUGGUGUUGUUGCCAUUGUCAUCUCAGACAAAACAUUUUGCUAAUUAAAAUUCCGAGAAUGUCUCUUUGUAAUAAUAUGUAAACUACCUAAAUAUCGCUCACAUUAUUAUAAAGAUACAUUUUAGGAAUUUUAAUGAGCAAUUUUUUUGCCUGAGCUGGGGUUGAGUGACUGGGGAAAUGUGUCAAAUAUCACUGAUGUGGAUCAGGCCCUUAACCCUUCAUUUUUUUUAUUUCCCUGUUUAAGGGUAAAAGACAUGUAAUCCUUGGUUUACACAUGAAUUGUCAGAGAAAUUACAGGAAAGAAAUGUAACUUGGGCUAAGGUUAGAUGACUGAUUCUACAUCUGAUUGGCAGUCCUUCAGACAUUUGAGAAACAGAUGUCUAUCCCUGGUUAAAAAAGCUAAAUCAUUAUAUUUCUUGAAUUGUUUUUCAGAGUGGUGGUAAUCCAGAACUUCUGGAAAGUGGUCAAAUCCUUUAAACAAAACUCCACACCCUCGUUGCCCCAGCAGGUUGACAGCCUCUGGUCCCAUUCUAGACUAAAUGGAAAUUUAUGAUGCUUUUAAUAACCAUUUUGCUUCAACUGGCCACCUGUUUGAAAGGAUCAUUUCUGAAAAUUCAUCUCAUCCCACUAGAGGGAGUUCUUUAGUCACCUCAGAACCGAUUGUAGAGAUGAUGCACGAAUAGACUCAUACUUAAUUUUCAUUUCAAUCCUUUGAUGUCUAUGAUGUACUUCGCUAAAAAAAAAACAUAGGGGCUGAUUCACUUGAGCCCUUCUUAUUGCAGCUCUCUGCCACACUUAUUGCAGAACCACUGACCUAUAUGUUUUACUUGACAAUUGUUUCUGGUGUUAUCUCUAAGAUCUGGCAAGCGGCAAAUGUCCUCCCACUACAUAAAGGAGGAGAUCCUUUAGACUUAGUUAACCCCCGUCCAAUUUCCAAAUUAUGUUGCCUUUCCAAAGUUUUAGAAUCCCAGACUAACUUUCAGCAAAAACUUGAACUUCUCACUAUUUUUAAUGUGCACCAAUCCUGUUUUAGACCUGGACAUAGCACAGUUUCAGCUUCUACACUUGUUUAUGAUGUGUUAAAUUGUGCUGCCUUAUUUAUAGACCUUUCCAAGUGCUUCAAUACUGUUGACAAUCACAUUCUUAUUCAAAAGUUGACUGAAAUAGGCCUGGAUCAAGCUUCUUGCAAGUGGUUUGAAAACUAUCUCUGAGACAGGACUCAAUGUGUGAUCUCUGGUGGUGUUAUGUCUAGUUUUCUGGAUAUUACACAAGGUGUACCGCAGGGGUCGGUACUAAGACCUGUUCUCUUUAGUAUUUAUUUAAAUAAUAGUCUAUCUGUUAAAACAUGUAAUAUUCAUCUGUAUGCAGAUGACACUUAUGUAUACCAAUGCCCAUACCGUUGAACAGGCUAUAUUAGAGCUGCAAUCUGACCUUGUUACCAUUCAGAAAGCCCUGGUUGGUUUAAAACUUGUACUUAAUGCGAACAAGACGAAAUACAUGUUGUUCUCUAGUUCUCGCAAGAAUGUUUCAGAUGGACUACAUAUUUAUUAAUUGGAUGUUUCUCCCAUUGAUCGGGUUCCCGUCUACAAAUAUCUGGACAUCUGGAUUGACAGAGACUUAAUGUUUAAAACGCAUACGGAUGACCUAGUUAAAAAGCUAAGAUUUAAUGUGGGCUACUUUUUUAUAAAUAGAUUGUCUGGUCCUCAUUAAAGUCACGUAGAUCAAUGUAUUACUCCCUUUUUGUUCACAAAGCCCUACCACACAAGCUUCCAAUUUACCUAACUUCGUUGCUAACGUAUAAAAGAAUGAGACAGCAAACCCAUUUACAGGGUUGGUUAACUCUUCAGAAUCCUUAGAUCUCCACAGAAUUAGGUGAAUCUGCUUUUAGUUUUCACGCUCCACAUUUUUGGAAGCAUUUAGAAAAUUCAUUACAUUUGGAUUCCCUGGUGCCACUAGGGUAUUUUAAAACCCUGAUGAUAAAUGAGUUCACAGAGGUGUGCAAUUGUUUUGAUUGAUUGAUUUAGUAACCUGCUUAUGAUGCCUGUGAUGUCAGUGAUGUUCUGGUGUAGUGUACUUGUAAUUUGCAAUAUCUUUUUGCUUUGUGGUCUCAGGGCACCAUUAAAAAUGAAACCCUGGUCUCAAUUGGGCUCCACUGAUUAAAUAAAAGUUUACAGUAAAAUAACAAGCAGUGAUACAGCCUGUCAAGAUGCUCUCAAUGGUGCAGCUGUAGAACUUUUUGAUGAUUUGAUGCCAAACCUUUUCAACUUCCUGAGGGGAAAGAGGCGCAGGCGUGCUUCCUUCACAACUGUGCGUGUGAGUGGACCAUUUUAAGUCUUUAGUGAUUUGGACACAGAAGAACUUGAAGCUCUUGACCAGCUCCACUGCAGCCCUGUUUCCUGUAGUCCACGAUCAGCUCAUUGGUCUUACUGACGUUGAGGGAGAGGUUGUUGUCCCGGCACCACACUGCCAGGUCACAGACCUCCACCCUGUAGGCUGUGUCAUUGUCGCCGGUGAUCAGGCCUACCGCAGUCGUGUUGUCAGCAAACUUAAUGAUGGUGUUGUAGUCGUACGUGAACAGAGAGUACAGGAGGGGACUAACAUACACCCCUUUGGGACCCCCGUGUUGAGGGUCAGCGUGGAGGAGGCGAUGUUGCCUACCCUCACCACCUGGGGCUGGCCGAUCAGGAAGUCCAGGAUCCAGUUGCAGAGGGAGGUGUUCAGUCCCAGGGUCCUAAGCUUGGUGAUGAGCUUGGAGGGGACAAUAGUGUUGAACACUGAGCUGUAGUCAAUGAUCAGCAUUCUCACAUAGGCAUUCCUCUUAUCUAGGUGGGUGAGGGUAGUGUGGAGCGCAAAUGAGAUUGCAUCGUCUAUGGAUCUGUUGGGGCAGUAUGUCUGGUGUCUGGGAUGAAUAACCUUUCAAAGCACUUCAUGAUUGCAGAUGUGAGUGCUACAGGACGGUAGUCAUUGCGGCAUAAAGCUUUAAGAGUUCUUGGAAACAGGAAUAAUGGUAGUUAUCUUAAGACGUGGGGAUUACAGACUGGGACAAGGAGAGGUUGAAAAUUACUGCGAAUAUGCCUGCAAGCUGAUCUGUGCAUGCUCUGCGAACAGGCCCGUAGCCCUGCGAGUGUUGACCUGAAUAAAGACCGUCCUCACGUAAGCCUCGGAGAGCGAGAUCACCCAGUCCUCUGGGUUGGUGGGGGCCCUCAGGCACAGUGUUGUUAUUGUCAAAGCAUGCAUAAAAUCCAUGGCGUUUGUCUGCAAGAGAGGCAUCGUUGGGCAGAUCACGGCUGGGUUUUCCUUUGUAAUCUGUAAUGGACUGUAGCCCCUGCCACAUGUUGUGGGCGUCGGAGCCUGUGUAGUAUGAUUCCACCUUAUUACUAUAUCAUUGCGGGACUUGAACUUGUUCCUGUCCUUAGCCGUAGCCCCAGGGUUGUCUGCGAUAGCCCUGUGUGUGGUAGCCCUGUCCUUUAGUUUAGCUUCAACCUCAGUGUUAAUCCAGGGCUUUUGAUUGGGGAAGAAUAUUCACUGUGGAGACAACGUCACCGAUGCUUUUCCUUAUGAAGCUAGUGACGGUGGUACUUAGCUCGUCGAUGUUAUUUGCAGAGUCUGGGAACAUAUUAGAAUAGCAGUGAAGUAGAGGAAGAUGUUAUACACUAAGUUCCUGUCUAGCCUGAUGGGAAAGUGGUUAGAAGUUUGAAAGAAAGAAAAAAAGCAGAAACCUACCCAUGGCGUAGACGUUCAGGCCCUACCCUACCCUGGCCUGAUUGCUCAACCCGAAAUUAGAAAUACAAUAACUUUCUCCGCUAGUAUCCAUAGCAGAAUUGUCUCUGUCUGUCCUUUGCUCCCUGCGCUGCCCCAUGUGCUCCUCUGUGUGUGAGUAUCCAUAGCAACAGAUGUCUCUAGCUUGAACGGUUCAAUAAUUACUGUUGGUGGGUUAUUUUAUGCAAAUGUAUAUAGUUACAAAGAUUUAAAAUGUAGGAUAGCCUGAACAUGUGAAAGUUGGUUUGUUCUCUCUAGCUUGAAUGGUUCAAUAGUUAUUUUAUGCAAAUUAAUAAAAAAAUGUAUGUAGUUAGACAUUUCAAAGAAUUUGAAGUUAGGAUAGCCUGACUGUUUUAAAGUUGGUCUUGUAGCUAAAUUGGCCAAAAGCAAAACCAUUCUGUAUUCCUAUGGUUCUCAUUAAAACCAAUGUAAUUUAUGCACAUUUAAUGGUUAUAGUAAAAAAAAAUGUAUGUAUAUAGUAUACAAAAUCUUUUGACAAGCAAUCUAAGUAUGGUCAGUCUGAACAUCUCAACGUUGAUUUGGAGUCGAUAGCUUAAACAGUGAAAGAGGAGAUAAUACAUUCUAGGUCUUUUUUCAUUGUAGUCUAUGGCCCUUUUUCGGCCAUUGAAAUGCAUUGGUUUCCAUAGCAACGGCUCUGUUUGGGCUGCUCAAUGAUGAGACAUGAGAGAGCUUUUAGCUGAUGUUAGCUAGCUACUUUGCCACUCUAAACUCUGACAAACUGCAGUAACUCUGUAACUUUUGAUUGGUAGAAGAUCGUUCUGUUCUGAUUCCAGAUUUAAAUAGCUGAGUCCAAGAUGUUAAACUCUGUACGUUUUUGCGAGUAGAAGAUAAUUCUGUUCUGAUUCCAAAUGUGAAUAGCAGAGAUGUAGACCAAGAUAUCAAAACCUUUAAGUUUUUGCAAGUAUCCAUAGCAAUGGCUGUUUGGGCUGCUCAAUGACGAAACAGAGAGCUGUUAGCUGGCGUUAGCUUGCUGCUUUUCAUCACUCUAAACUCAGACAGCUGUAACUUUUGAUUAGUAGUAAAUAACUUUGUUCUGAUUCCAGAUUUGAAAACAAAAGAAGUAGACAAAGAUGUCAUACCCUCUAAGAUUUUGUCUAAAGUUCUGGGAAAGUGGUCAAAAUGUCAGUUGUUUAUAAAAAAUGUCAAUGUGGUUACUAAAACAGCUGUAUCGUUAGACUGGUAUCAGAUAUUUUAGUUUUUCCGAUUUGAAUAGCAGAGAAGUAGAGGAAGAUUUCAUACAAUAACUUUUUGUCUAACUGGUUGGGAAAGUGGUCCAAAUUUAAGUUGUUUAUAAAAAGUUCAUAGAAAUGUCAUUGAUGCAGUUAGUAAAACAGCUGUAUGGUUUGACCGGUAUGAGAUUGUUGUUCGAAUUUCAGAUUUGAAUUGCAAAGAAGUAGAGGAAGAUUUCAUAUGCUCUAACUUUUUGUCAAAAUGGUUGGGAAAGUGGUAUCAGGUUUGUGUCAAAAGUUGCAUUGUUCACAGUAAAUGGAAUGCUGGAAGUCUGGGAGUUGAUGUCACAAUGGGACACUUAGAAUGUUGAAGAAAUCCCAUGAAAGUAAAAAAGGACAAAAAGCUUAGUUUAAAAAUAAUAAAAUAUAUCAAAAACUUGAAUGCAAGCACACUGGUCCUGACUGUUCUGCACAUUUUAAAGUUUGAAUGAUGUUUCUAGCUUAAACAAUGUAGAAGAAUGCUUCGCAAGCCCCACUAAUGAGACUUAUUAUGACAAAGAUUUAAACUGGGACGUUUGCGUCGCAAGUCUCACCAAUAAUAAGAAGUAUGUUGAAGAUUUUGAGUGGGGACUCUUUUAAAUAGAGUCAAUUCCAAUAGGGCCUUGGUGAAAUAUCUCCAUUCUUAUGAAAACUCUGAUCUCCAUUGAGGUACAUGCUUUCAUCAUGCACCGUCCUCAGAUGCCUUAGCAAGUCGUCAUUUAGUUUAAAGCUCUUUCCACAGCGAGUACAGAGGAAAGACUCCUGGGAAUGAAGAAGCUUAUGUUUUGUUAGGGUGUGGCUGUGGUGGAAGCCCUCCCCACACACACUGCAGCGGAAUGGCCUUUCUUCUGUGUGGAUGUUCCUGUGCUCCUGCAGCCCUUUCAGCUGAGCAAAGACAUCCCCACAGUCUGUACAGGUAUAAGGGGACUCACCUGUGUGGGUCCUCAUGUGACAUUUCAGAUUAUACUUGUCCCUAAACUGCUUUCCACACUCAGAGCAGCCUAGAGCCUUAUUAUGGCUCCUGCGGUGGUGGGUCAGGCAUUUCUGAGAGGCAAAGAUUUGGGCACAGUCAGGACAGAUGAACUUAGGGAAGGCACUGCAACUGUGUUUGCUGAGAAAAGCAGCCCGUUUGUAGCUCUUACCACAGUCAUGGCAGCAGUGGCUUGGUCUAUGGAAGGGAUCUUCUUUGUUUUUCCGCUUCAGGCAGCAGGGUGUUUCUCCCUCUGUCUCGGCGGUGUUAGGGCUGGACGAGGAGAUGACAGGGGAAGAUACACCUCUCUUGGCCCUUCCAAAGACGGGCAUCUGAUUUGCUAUGUUUCUAAGCUGACUUCUCUCAACAUUCUCAGUAUUUCUAGCCACAGCAGACUGUCCCAUCUCAGAGGCUGACCUGAUCUCACCCUCUACCUCAGCCUGGUUAUUGUAUUUUAUCUCCUCCUUAAUCCAGUCCUCAUGUUCAGCAAAAUUGUCUUCCUCAACCAAAUCAUCUUCCCCAUCAAGUCUCCUCUCCUCACUGUAAAUGUCCUCCAGAUGUCUGGCAUCUAUAUUGAAAGUACUGGACUGACAGACUUUAGAAAAUUCUAUCCUCUUCAGAAACAACCCUGGUCCUGUGACUUUCAUCUUCUCACUGUCAACUUGAUGUUCUG